AUUGAACGCUGGCGGCAUGCUUUACACAUGCAAGUCGGACGAGUGGCGAACGGGUGAGUAACGCAUCGGAACCUACCGGGUAGUGGGGGAUAACUACUCGAAACGACAGCUACUACCGCAUACCAUCCGAUCUGCCCAUAUGUGAUGCGCUGGUUGGUGGGGUAACGGCUCACCAAGGAGACGAUCAGUAGCGGGUCUGAGAGGAUGAUCCGCCACACUGGGACUGAGACACGGCCCAGACUCCUACGGGAGGCAGCAGUGGGGAAUUUUGGACAAUGGGCGCAAGCCUGAUCCAGCCAUGCCGCGUGUCUGAAGAAGGCCUUCGGGUUGUAAAGGACUUUUGGCAGGGAAGCGGUACCUGAAGAAUAAGCACCGGCUAACUACGUGCCAGCAGCCGCGGUAAUAG
rnacentral:rRNA from 1 species